GCGGGAUUAGUUGAACGGCCCAACAUCUGCUUUCCAAGCAGAAAAAACGGGUUCGACUCCCGUAUCCCGCUCCA
rnacentral:tRNA from 1 species